rnacentral:rRNA from 1 species
UACGUAGGUGGCAAGCGUCGUCCGGAAUUAUUGGGCGUAAAGCGCGCGCAGGCGGUUUCUUAAGUCUGAUGUGAAAGCCCCCGGCUUAACCGGGGAGGGUCAUUGGAAACUGGGAGACUUGAGUGCAGAAGAGGAAAGUGGAAUUCCAAGUGUAGCGGUGAAAUGCGUAGAGAUUUGGAGGAACACCAGUGGCGAAGGCGACUUUCUGGUCUGUUACUGACGCUGAGGCGCGAAAGCGUGGGGAGCAAACAGG